rnacentral:misc_RNA from 1 species
AUACCUCAAGCCGGAUGCUUUAUUGCAAUCUUUGGCUUGGAUUUGGGCUUUGCCGUGGCUUCUUUUAGUACGGCUGGUCUUAAAUGUAUUAGCUGGUCCAUGUUAUAUGUUUGGUUCGACUCGGCGUGAUAAGUUUACGAUCGCUGAGGACAUUUGCUUUCGGGCGGAUGGCCAGAUGUGUCUUGGAUUGCUUCUAAUCGUCUCUUUGAGACAACUUUUUCAA